rnacentral:rRNA from 1 species
AUACGUAGGGGGCGAGCGUUGUCCGGAAUGAUUGGGCGUAAAGGGCGCGUAGGCGGCCCGGUAAGUCUGGAGUGAAAGUCCUGCUUUUAAGGUGGGAAUUGCUUUGGAUACUGUCGGGCUUGAGUGCAGGAGAGGUAAGUGGAAUUCCCAGUGUAGCGGUGAAAUGCGUAGAGAUUGGGAGGAACACCAGUGGCGAAGGCGACUUACUGGACUGUAACUGACGCUGAGGCGCGAAAGUGUGGGGAGCAAACAGGAUUAGAUACCCUGGUAGUCCACACUGUAAACGAUGAAUGCUAGGUGUAGGGGGUAUCGACCCCUUCUGUGCCGCAGUUAACACAAUAAGCAUUCCGCCUGGGGAGUACGGCCGCAAGGUUGAAACUCAAAUGAAUUGACGGG